rnacentral:rRNA from 1 species
AUGAACGCUGGCGGCGUGCUUAACACAUGCAAGUCGAACGAUGAAGCCCAGCUUGCUGGGUGGAUUAGUGGCGAACGGGUGAGUAACACGUGAGUAACCUGCCCUUAACUCUGGGAUAAGCCUGGGAAACUGGGUCUAAUACCGGAUAGGAGCGUCCACCGCAUGGUGGGUGUUGGAAAGAUUUAUCGGUUUUGGAUGGACUCGCGGCCUAUCAGCUUGUUGGUGAGGUAAUGGCUCACCAAGGCGACGACGGGUAGCCGGCCUGAGAGGGUGACCGGCCACACUGGGACUGAGACACGGCCCAGACUCCUACGGGAGGCAGCAGUGGGGAGUAUUGCACAAUGGGCGCAAGCCUGAUGCAGCGACGCCGCGUGAGGGAUGACGGCCUUCGGGUUGUAAACCUCUUUCAGUAGGGAAAGAAGCGAAAGUGACGGUACCUGGCAGAAGAAGCCACCGGGCUAACUACGUGCCAGCAGCCCGGCGGGUAAUACUUAGGGUCGCGAACGUUAUCCGGAAUUAUUGGGGCGUAAAGAGCUCGUAGGCGGGUUUGUUCGCGUUCCUGUCGUGAAAAAUCCGGGGCUUAAACCCCCGGGAUCUGCCGGUGGGUACGGGCCAGAACUAGAGUGCAGUAGGGGAGACUGGAAUUCCUGGUGUAGCCGGUGGAAUGCGCAGAUAUCAGGAGGAACACCGAUGGCGAAGGCAGGUCUCUGGGCUGUAACUGACGCUGAGGAGCGAAAGCAUGGGGAGCGAACAGGAUUAGAUACCCUGGUAGUCCAUGCCGUAAACGUUGGGCACUAGGUGUGGGGACCAUUACACGGUUUCCGCGCCGGCAGCUAACGCAUUAAGUGCCCCGCCUGGGGAGUACGGC